AUUGAACGCUGGCGGCAGGCUUAACACAUGCAAGUCGAACGAGUGGCGGACGGGUGAGUAAUGCUUGGGAAUCUAGCUUAUGGAGGGGGAUAACUACGGGAAACUGUAGCUAAUACCGCGUACCAUAGGAUGAGCCCAAGUGGGCUUAGGUAGUUUGUGAGGUAAAGGUUCACCAAGCCGACGAUCUCUAGCUGGUCUGAGAGGAUGACCAGCAAAACUGGGACUGGGACACGGCCCGGACUCCUACGGAGGGCAGAGGUGGGGAAUAUUGGGCAAUGGGGGAAACCUGACGCAGCCAUGCCGCGGGAAUGAGGAGGGCCUUCGGGUGGUAAAGUUCGUUCGGUAGCGAGGCGUUAACUACAGAAGAAGCACCGGCUAACUCCGUGCCAGCAGCCGCGGUAAUUC
rnacentral:rRNA from 1 species